rnacentral:misc_RNA from 1 species
GAUGAAGAACGCAGCGAAAUGCGAUACGUAAUGUGAAUUGCAGAUUUCAGUGAAUCAUCGAGUCUUUGAACGCACAUUGCGCCCCCUGGUAUUCCGGGGGGCAUGCCUGUCCGAGCGUCAUUGCUGCCCUCAAGCACGGCUUGUGUGUUGGGCCCCGUCCUCCGAUCCCGGGGGACGGGCCCGAAAGGCAGCGGCGGCACCGCGUCCGGUCCUCGAGCGUAUGGGGCUUUGUCACCCGCUCUGUAGGCCCGGCCGGCGCUUGCCGAUCAACCCAAAUUUUUAUCCAGGUUGACCUCGGAUCAGGUAGGGAUACCCGCUGAACUUAUGCAUAUCAAUAAGCGGAGGA